rnacentral:misc_RNA from 1 species
GCUGGGGUUGGUUGGGGGUUGGGGUGCUGUGUGGGGUUUCUGUCCCACAUGAGCUUAUCCUGCACCCUCCACAUGCGUUCGGAGUGGCGUCAAGCUGCCCCGUGACACAUUUACGCAAUGAAUGUUUGACAGAGUGGCGAUAUACAAUAACGAGUA